rnacentral:rRNA from 1 species
AGUAAAGUGGCGUACGGGUGAGUAACACGUGGAUCAUCUGCCUUUUAGUGGGGAAUAACCCUGGGAAACCGGGGCUAAUACCGCAUAAGCCUGUGAAGGGAAAGCAGCAAUGCGCUGAAAGAGGAGUCCGCGGCUGAUUAGCUAGUUGGUGAGGUAAUGGCUCACCAAGGCGAAGAUCGGUAGCCGGCCUGAGAGGGCACACGGCCACACUGGCACUGAAACACGGGCCAGACUCCUACGGGAGGCAGCAGUGGGGAAUCUUGCACAAUGGAGGAAACUCUGAUGCAGCGACGCCGCGUGAGCGAUGAAGCCCUUCGGGGUGUAAAGCUCUUUCGACGGGAACGAUUAUGACGGUACCCGAAGAAGAAGCUGCGGCUAACUACGUGCCAGCAGCCGCGGUAAUACGUAGGCAGCGAGCGUUGUUCGGAAUUACUGGGCGUAAAGAGUACGUAGGCGGUGCUCUAAGUCUGGUGUGAAAUCUCCCGGCUCAACUGGGAGGGUGCGCCGGAAACUGGAGUGCUCGAGUAUGGGAGAGGUAAGCGGAAUUCCUGGUGUAGCGGUGAAAUGCGUAGAUAUCAGGAGGAACACCUGUGGUGUAGACAGCUUACUGGACCAUGACUGACGCUGAGGUACGAAAGCGUGGGUAGCAAACAGGAUUAGAUACCCUGGUAGUCCACGCCCUAAACGAUGCAUACUUGGUGUGAGCGAUUCAUUUCGUUCGUGCCGGAGCUAACGCGUUAAGUAUG